rnacentral:rRNA from 1 species
CAGCAGUCGCCGCGGUAAUACCGAGGGUGCGAGCGUUAAUCGGAUUUACUGGGCGUAAAGCGUGCGUAGGCGGCUUCUUAAGUCGGAUGUGAAAUCCCUGAGCUUAACUUAGGAAUUGCAUUCGAUACUGGGAAGCUAGAGUAUGGGAGAGGAUGGUAGAAUUCCAGGUGUAGCGGUGAAAUGCGUAGAGAUCUGGAGGAAUACCGAUGGCGAAGGCAGCCAUCUGGCCUAAUACUGACGCUGAGGUACGAAAGCAUGGGGAGCAAACAGGAUUAGAUACCCCCGUAGUCCCUGUCUCUUAUAC